UGACUUCUAAGGUUAGUAAUGAUUUUAUGAAAUAUCCCUGAACCAUUCCUGCUUCUAAUACCAAGGUGAAUGGGGCAUCUGGCUUGAGCUUCCCACUGCCCCAGGACUGACUCAGUUUCCCCUUGAUAUCUGUAGGGUUGAGGAGCAGGAAGGCAGGAUUGUGCAUGGAUUAUGGCCAGAAACCUAGGGCUGAGAGCAACCCAUAAAUUUCUUUAUCUGUACACUCCUAUAAGGUUCAGUAGAGAAAAGUGAAUAAGUAGGCCUAUACUUUUCUUUCCAAGAAGGAAUUUAUCUUAUAAGAAAUGCCUUCUCUGGUGAUUUGUAUCUCCUUUCCCUCCCUUCUCUUCCCGGUGUUCCAUGCUGGGGUGUGUCAUUCCUAAUUCAAUGUGAUCAGCAUGUACCGACAUUGAGAUCUGGCUGCUAUCAAGGUGGCUUGCCUUUGUUGGUGCUGAUGUAUGUUUAGAAUAGCAUGUGAAUCUUAAGAUACUGAGACAGCCCUGGAGACAUGAGCUCUGGGUCCGCCAUGCUACUGACUUGAUGUCAUCACUUAAUAUCCUCAAGUUCUUAUCUGUAAAAGGCAAAAUGUGGCCAAAGUCCCACCUAGCUCUUAACAGUCUUUGAAUCUGUGACUUCACCAAGAGUGAACCAACUACACUGUGCUUGUUGAAGGUGCUGGGUCUGCCGCCAGCCCACUUCAUUCAGACGGCCUCCAGGAGACAGACGUUCUUUGGUAAGUCCCCAAGUCUAAUCUCUUUAUCUCAUUGUGUCUAAUGAGGUGUCACAGAUCUUGAAGGUACUUCCCAUACCCUAAAUCUCAUAUUUUGCUUUUCUCCUGUCCCCAUACCAAAGGGCAGGAUGUGGUUUAGGAGCUUACAGGCAAUGAAAAGUGGUCCCAGAUUGCAUGCUGGAGAUGAGAUGGGUGAAAUCACAAGGGGAAUGGGUUCUUGGCAAUACAAAUGCAUUGGAGCAGGAGAAUGAUCAGGUUCCCACUCAGAAGACCAGUGAGAGAAGAGGGCUGUGGCUGCCUCAUCCCUGCAGUUGGC
rnacentral:lncRNA from 1 species